rnacentral:rRNA from 1 species
UACGGGGGGGGCAAGCGUUGUUCGGAAUUACUGGGCGUAAAGGGCUCGUAGGCGGCCAACUAAGUCGGACGUGAAAUCCCUCGGCUUAACCGGGGAACUGCGUCCGAUACUGGAUGGCUUGAGUUCGGGAGAGGGAUGCGGAAUUCCAGGUGUAGCGGUGAAAUGCGUAGAUAUCUGGAGGAACACCGGUGGCGAAGGCGGCAUCCUGGACCGACACUGACGCUGAGGAGCGAAAGCCAGGGGAGCGAACGGG